GACGAACGCUGGCGGCGUGCUUAACACAUGCAAGUCGAACGGAAAGGUCCUGCUUGCAGGGUACUCGAGUGGCGAACGGGUGAGUAACACGUGGGUGAUCUGCCCUGCACAUCGGGAUAAGCCUGGAAAACUGGGUCUAAUACCGGAUAGGAGCCAUUUUUAGUGUGAUGGUUGGAAAGUUUUUUCGGUGUAGGAUGAGCGCGCGGCCUAUCAGCUUGUUGGUGGGGUAAUGGCCUACCAAGGCGGCGACGGGUAGCCGGCCUGAGAGGGUGGACGGCCACAGUGGGACUGAGAUACGGCCCAGACUCCUACGGGAGGCAGCAGUGGGGGAUAGUGCACAAUGGGAGCAAGCCUGAUGCAGAGACGGCGCGUGGGGGAUGACGGCCUUCGGGUUGUAAACGCCUUUCGCUAGGGACGAAGCUUUUUGUGACGGUACCUAGAUAAGAAGCACCGGCUAACUACGUG
rnacentral:rRNA from 1 species